GCUUCCUUCUUUUCAUCUCCGGUAUUCGACUGUGCUCAACUCGGCCAUGGGGAGGUGCUGUUGUUUCAUUUUCCACACCAAGGACUCUGUCAUCCAUGGAUGCCUUUCCUGGUUGGAUUUUUGCUGUCAUGUUUUUUUCAGGGUGCCUUUUACCUCCCCGCCAAAGCAGUACCUAUUUAACUAUUUACAUUAUUGUUUUCAAACUGCUAGGUGAGCAGAAGCUGGGCUGACGGCUGGGAGCUGACCCUGACCCGGGCUUGAACUACCAGCCUUCCAGUCGGCAGGAUCUUCUAUAGCAGGCAGUUUAAGCCAUUGUGCAAGUCCGGCCCUUCAUUGGAAGCAGCCGAGAAAAGCUCACUCCAGCCGCCAGAGGGCGCCCAAGCCGGAAGUGAGAUGGGAGGGGCACUCUAGCCGCCGACGGAAAAACCAAUAGAGAAGGAGCAGGAGCGGAAGUGAGAAAGCCGGGCAGAGUUAUGUCAGCCAAGAAUAUGAGUGACCCAAUGGCUUUGAAGGAAAGAGAUCCUGCUGACAACUGGACUGCAGAUGAUAUUUCCAGUAGAAGUUCUGACCUUUUGAAAUCGAAGCAGGUGCCUUUUUGUGCUGAGAUGACUGUGGGACUGGUAGAUUCGGACUCUGUUUCCAACCAUGGCAGUUUGAGGAAAAGAAAAAACUCUCAUUCUGUAACAAAUGGGCUUGGGAAUGGUGUACAAAAUCCUGUAGAUCAGGACAAGGUUUUCAGGGCCAAUCAUACUAAAAGGCAAGGAGAAGAAGACAAAGAAGUGGCUUGCCAGUAUUCAGGAACCAACACCCAUUUGUUUCCCCUUUCUGGGACAAUAUUAAGCCCUAAGAAGCGGAAGCUGAUUCUACACAUUGAUUUGAAUAACACCGUCCUCGUCUCAGAUGCUGUCACCGGUCAGGAUCCCAGAGCUGCUUUAAACUGUUACCUGACUACUGUGACCUGGGGAAAAGUUGGCCCUUCAGGUAAAUGGCAGUGGCUCAGCGAGUCCCCUUCCCUGCUUUCCCCCUGCCCGGAUGCUGUAAGCUUUUACUCUCAGUAUGGCCGAAACACCAAAUUCACAGACACGAACAAAGGGCAGCGUUUUCGAGACCUUCAACAGCGCCACUUGAAGCUGCUGGAAUGGCAGGCCCGGCUCACGCGCUGCUCUCCAUCCAAGGUGA
rnacentral:lncRNA from 11 species